rnacentral:rRNA from 1 species
GGUGGAGCAUGUGGUUUAAUUUCGAAGAUACACGAAGAACCUUACCUGGCCUUGACAUGGUAGGAACCCUUUAAGAGAUUAGGGGGUGCUAGCUUGCUAGAACCUACACACAGGUGCUGCACGGCUGUCGUCAGCUCGUGUCGUGAGAUGUUCGGUUAAGUCCGCUAACGAGCGUAACCCUCACUGUGUGUUAUAUGUGUCACACGGGACUGCCGGUUUUAAGCCGGAGGAAGUGGGAUGACGUCAAGUCAGCAUGGCCUUUAUAUCCUGGGCUACACACACGCUACAAUGGUCGGUACAAUAGGUUGCCAAGCCGCGAGGCGGAGCCAAUCCAAAAAGCCGGCCUCAGUUCAGAUUGUAGGCUGCAACUCGCCUGCAUGAAGAUGGAGUUGCUAGUAACCGCAGGUCAGCAAUACUGCGGUGAAUACGUUCCCGGGUCUU